rnacentral:rRNA from 1 species
GCUACGGGAGGCAGCAGUGAGGAAUAUUGGUCAAUGGGCGCGAGCCUGAACCAGCCAAGUCGCGUGAGGGAAGACGGUCCUAUGGAUUGUAAACCUCUUUUGUCGGGGAGCAAAAGACGCCACGCGUGGCGUUCCGAGAGUACCCGAAGAAAAAGCAUCGGCUAACUCCGUGCCAGCAGCCGCGGUAAUGCGGAGGAUGCGAGCGUUAUCCGGAUUUAUUGGGUUUAAAGGGUGCGCAGGCGGAAGAUCAAGUCAGCGGUAAAAUUGAGAGGCUCAACCUCUUCGAGCCGUUGAAACUGGUGUGCUUGAGUGAGGGAGAAGUAGGCGGAAUGCGUGGUGUAGCGGUGAAAUGCAUAGAGAGCACGCAGAACUCCGAGUGCGAAGGCAGCAUACCGGCGCUCAACUGACGCUCAUGCACGAAAGUGUGGGUAUCGAACAGGAGUAGAUACCCGGGUAGUC